UCUGAAUCUGCGAACGGCUCCGCAAACCAGUUGUAAACCAUAGCAAGCAUGCCUCGGGUCGGUCGAAAGGCUGAUCUGGGGCUAUAAGGAUAACCCUGGUAAUUCUGAGGCUAAUACAUGAACGUAACCCCUGGCUGAAGGGCAACCGGACGCUGGGGACCGUGCGAGUAGGGCGCAAAGUUUAUUGGGAAUAGUCGCACAGUUCGACCGCCAUACCAAACAGUAUCCGCUACGUCUCCUCACGGGGGCCGGUGGUGUCUGGGCGGCUCUUGCAAGGUGCUUCUGACCUAUCAACUAGAUGGCAGCGUAAAGGACAUGCUAUGGU
rnacentral:rRNA from 1 species